rnacentral:rRNA from 1 species
CACCGCGGUUAUACGAAAGACCCUAGUUGAUAAACACGGCGUAAAGGGUGGUUAAGGGAUGUACAAAAUAAAGCCAAAGACCCUCUAAGCCGUCAUACGCACUCCGAAGGCACGAAGCCCACACACGAAAGUAGCUUUAAUCAUAUAAACCCCUGACCCCACGAAAGCUAAAAAA